rnacentral:rRNA from 1 species
CCUACGGGAGGCAGCAGCUAAGAAUCUUCCGCAAUGGGGGAAACCCUGACGGAGCGACGCCGCGUGGAUGAUGAAGGCCGUAAGGUUGUAAAAUCCUUUUGUUGGCGAAGAAUAACCUGGGGAGUGGAAAGCCCCAGGGAUGACGUUAGCCGACGAAUAAGCCCCGGCUAAUUACGUGCCAGCAGCCGCGGUAAU